rnacentral:lncRNA from 1 species
AGGUUCUCCUUUUUGUGUUGCCGCAGGUGUCCUCAUAAUGAGAUCUUAAUGAACAUGAAAAAGAAAGCAACGCAAGUGAAAAGUUGAGCGUCGGAUAAUAUAUACUCUGCCCAUGAUACUACCAUUGCAAAUCUCUGGCGUGGUUUCAAUGUUACCAAAAAGCUUGAGUUCCCUUCCUAUGGAGCAGCGCUGAUGAUCGAGCUCCACGAGAUCGACGGGAAAUAUCAAGUGAAAAUACUUUACAAAAGGAGUCACCUCGAUGACGACUUGAUAAAGCUGAAAAUCGAGGGCUGCAAGGACAGUCAGGGCGAGGAAACUGAUGCAAUGUGCGAUCUCCAUAUUUUCUCAUCAGCAUUACGACCUGUCGUCAUUGAAAACUUUGACGAGGCCUGUGAAGUCCCAAAUGAGCAAAUUUGACUCUCUACCUUUAUCCUUUCAUUUUGUGAUCGGAGAUGAAUAAGGAAAUGAAUAAGACAUAAAAAUCACAGAAAAUAAACAUUAGUUUUUAUACAAUUUACAGUUUACUUUCAUACGAGUACUCUAUACAAAACCGGUAUGCGUUGAGGAUGGUUCCAAUAUUACCUGCUUGAAACAUCUUUUCUUGAACCCUCUCCUUCUUAAAACGUUUUCGUGACGUAGAGUAGACCCAAACUCUCGUUCUAACAUACUUCAGAUAUGAGUAUGGCUCAUUUUAUCGCUCUUGAGAGCUUAACUAAUUUCUCUCCCUCUUCUUUUUCUCUCCUUCUUAUGUUAUGACAGGUUAAUUUUAAGUCUCAAAUUCAUCUAAUUUUGUUUACGAUAGAUGUCAAUUUAGGUGCAAAAAGAAUAUAGGGAGAGUGAUAGAACACUAAAAUGACUUAUUGUUCAUUUACUCACUAUUUUUUAAGUUCAAUUGAAAGUUUAAAAUUAUAGUCUUAAUUUACUUUAAAACAAUGCACUUGUCACACAGAGUGCUUUAAACUUUUAAGCCAUGCCGCCAAAAAAUGUGAUAUGAUUUUUCUUAUUUGAAAAUACUUCAACCGCUAGUAAAGCAAAUGUUUCCCAUGUGCUUAAAUUUAGCAUAUCUUUGUCGUUGUACACCUUCGCAAAGUACUCGGCAACAUAAUUUAUCUCAAAAUUAAAAAUUUAUCACUCUUGGUAAGUAUAAUCACAUUUUUUGUGACAAAAUUUCAGCAUGUGACAUUGAACUUACAUCUGCACUUCCACGUGAACGUUGAGGACUUGCAGGAUUAAGUUUUUAGAGGGUCUCUGUUCUUUAUCUCUUUUUUAGUGCGCCGUGAGUGGCUCAAGAGACCUUACCGAGAAACAAAUAUAUUCAGUGCAAAAAAGGCUUUUUUAAUUAUACAACAGACUAAUGAUUUGAUGAUACAAUCUAGGUUCUUUUCAUCGCAGAGUUUAUUUGAAGAAAGCAAGUACUUAACCCUCAAAAUCAGUUUUCUCCUUCUCUCACUCUAAGUUCGAAGAUUGUCUUUGCUCCCACGUCACAGUAUAGUGAACACGGUUAACUUCUCUGAUUUAUAAGAUCAGGUUCAAGCGAAUAUCAAGAUGAAUCGUUGCACUAAAGCGCCCAAAAAAAGUGUUUUCUUGGUUGUGGUGCUACUAUAAUCUCAAUUUUUACCGCGUGUUUUGGAUUCUACAUUUUAAGACACAGCCCAACGGGUGAGCCUACGCUGAGGUUUGUCAGCAUAGUGAGUAUAUAAUUUUAAAGUGUUUUGAACUUUUCUUGAGCUCUAAGUUAAGUAUUCUCACUUCAAACGUGUUACGGAUUACCGUAAGGGCGAAUUCUUUAUAAAUGCAUGGAAUAGAACGCGAAAUGAAAUAUUUUAUAUACAAUGAACUUCAAUAGGAAAUACUGUAAAUAUUUUAA